GAGGAGUUAACCCUGCAAGGUAAAUAUUGCAGUUUAUGAAAACUGCAAUAAUUACACUUGCAGGGUUAAGGGUGGUGGGAGUUGGCACCCAGACCACUCCAAUGGGCAGAAAUGGUCUGGGUGCCUGGAGUGUCCCUUUAACCCCUUAAGGACCAAACUUCUGGAAUAAAAGGGAAUCAUGACAUGUCACACAUGUCAUGUG